AUACGGAGGGGGCUAGCGUUGUUCGGAAUUACUGGGCGUAAAGCGCGCGUAGGCGGAUUGAUCAGUCAGGGGUGAAAUCCCGGAGCUUAACUCCGGAACUGCCUUUGAUACUGUCAAUCUUGAGUUCGAGAGAGGUGAGUGGAAUUCCUAGUGUAGAGGUGAAAUUCGUAGAUAUUAGGAAGAACACCAGUGGCGAAGGCGGCUCACUGGCUCGAUACUGACGCUGAGGUGCGAAAGCGUGGGGAGCAAGCAGGAUUAGAUACCCCAGUAGUCC
rnacentral:rRNA from 1 species